rnacentral:sRNA from 1 species
GUCAAACGCUCCCCGGCUUGAAUGCCGGGGCUUGCCGCGAGGUGACGGCGUAUCGCCGUAGCCGACCGGUAGGCCGGUUUGACCAGACCCAGCCAUCAGCAGAGGAGAGGUGACCUUGAUGGCUACGUUGGACACAAGGCAGCAGACCCACCGGCGGGUGCUUCCUCAGCCCGCCGCUCUGGAAUCCGCGUCAGUAGACACCCCCGGAGUAGGGACGAAACGGGGCGUGGACGCCGCCGAGGCGGCAUCUGGUGUCCACCAUGGUCGAGGGGAGACCACCGCCGCCCCACCCGGCG